UACGUAGGGUGCGAGCGUUAAUCGGAAUUACUGGGCGUAAAGCGCGCGUAGGCGACUUUGCAAGUCGGGUGUGAAAUCCCCAGGCUUAACCUGGGAACUGCAUUCGAGACUGCAUUGCUAGAGUAUGGGAGAGGGAAGUGGAAUUUCCGGUGUAGCGGUGAAAUGCGUAGAUAUCGGAAGGAACAUCAGUGGCGAAAGCGACUUCCUGGACCAAUACUGACGCUCAUGUGCGAAAGCGUGGGGAGCAAACAGG
rnacentral:rRNA from 1 species